AUUUUUCAGUUCAUGAGGGUGAUGAUUGGGUGUUCACGCCAUUUGUGGUAUCCCUCCCUCAAACCUUGUUACAAGAUUGGCACAUUACCCAUCUGACA
ensembl:snoRNA